CAAAAUUUAAAAACAAUCAGUGGUCACAUGGAAGAAAUAAUGUUUGUGUGAAGUUAGUCACUGACAGCUAUUGAUUAUGUGGCAGAAUAUUAGAAACAGAUUAGCAGUCCAUCAACAGGAGACAGGUCAUUGUCUCCUGCCUGAGAGGAGGACUCCACGUCACUCCGUGAGACAAGCCCCUGAUUGCUCUGCUGCGUGAGCCUGAACCAACUGUGGCCACCUGUCUGUCUCCGUCUUCGUUGUCCGUCUUUCAGUGUGCAUCACCGGGUAGCCUUUGCUGGAGCCUAGGACCCACUAGGAAUAGACCUUGAGUCAAGAGGCCUGCAAAAAAUCAGGCUCAGUAUCAUCUACAUCAAGUAUGUCAAACUCGCAGCCUGAGGGCUGCAUGUGGCCCACAACGAAUAUUUUUGCAGCCCAGCCAA